GUGACCUCAAAUCAGGUAGGACUACCCGCUGAACUAAGCAUAUCAUAAGCGGAGGAAAAGAACU
rnacentral:rRNA from 1 species